rnacentral:rRNA from 1 species
GACGAACGCUGGCGGCGUGCUUAACACAUGCAAGUCGAACGGAAAGGCCCUGCUUUUGUGGGGUGCUCGAGUGGCGAACGGGUGAGUAACACGUGAGUAACCUGCCCUUGACUUUGGGAUAACUUCAGGAAACUGGGGCUAAUACCGGAUAGGAGCUCCUGCUGCAUGGUGGGGGUUGGAAAGUUUCGGCGGUUGGGGAUGGACUCGCGGCUUAUCAGCUUGUUGGUGGGGUAGUGGCUUACCAAGGCUUUGACGGGUAGCCGGCCUGAGAGGGUGACCGGCCACAUUGGGACUGAGAUACGGCCCAGACUCCUACGGGAGGCAGCAGUGGGGAAUAUGGCACAAGGGGCGGAAGCCAGAUGCAGCAACGCCGCGUGCGGGAUGACGGCCUUCGGGUUGUAAACCGCUUUCGCCUGUGACGAAGCGUGAGUGACGGUAAUGGGGAAAGAAGCACCGGCUAACUACGU